rnacentral:rRNA from 1 species
GAACUUGAGAGUUUGAUCCUGGCUCAGAGCGAACGCUGGCGGCAUGCUUAACACAUGCAAGUCGCACGGUCAGCAAU